UAAUCUAGAGCAUCGUAUUUUGUUUCCAGUCGUUAUACUAUAUCAGCAUUUAUAAUACUUGCAAUAAACAAAGCAUCCGUUUUGCUUACAAUUAACCAAGUAUUACCGCGUCGACGUUUCCUAAACCAUAGUAUACCACGAGCAUCGCUAUCAAAUUCCAAAAUAUUACACUUAAGCAAACCAUUAACCUCGAUUUCGCUCGUCAGUAUCAACGAUCAUGGCGCAACGACCACGAAAGCCCGUAUCGGAUACAUUCGUCGGCGCUAAAGCGCAGUUUCGAAACGAGUUGCCGUCGUGGCCGGUAUACAAGAACACUUUUGCAACAUCAAACGGGCUGCGCCAUAAUUUCGCGAGAACGGCAACACGUCCGCUCUAGCAGGGUGCAGUUUUACCGUGGCGCAAACUAGCGUCUCGUACGUGGCGAAUGACCGCUUUCAUAGUGAUAGACACGCAACAGGCCAUUGACGUUCCCGUGUUACGUCGCAGCUUGGCGGGCUUUCACGCCUUUAACGUCGUCGUAACUCGUCGCGAAAAACUCAAUUAUCCAACCGCGAAAUACCUGAACCGAUAACGGAACGAUAAUGCGGCCCGAGCUCAAGUGGCUAUCAAUUAUCGUAUCAUUAUCAUUAUCAUAGCCGAGAUCUCGUUAAAACCGAUAAAAAGUAUAGGGAAUUAACGUGCUUCGCGUAUCGAUCAUACGAUGUAUCGAGUGUUCGCUGGUGUUUGCGAAGAUUGUGAAUUGUGAAAGUUUGUGCAGGUUUAUCGUACAUAAUAUGCAGAGGCUCUGUGGUGAAAAGUAGAAGAUUUAGUUUUUCAGAAGGAAUUCUCCGAAUGAUUUGUGAAAAAUGAAAGUUGGCGUUGGAGGUUUGACGAUAGAGAAGAAUUUGAAAGGAUGUUGCAGAAGCGUCGGUGAAUUUAACGUUAUCGUCGCUUAUAGCUUCAUUUACGUACAAACACGCAUAAGUGCUUGUACGUGCGUAUUCGCAGAUGCGACCUCCGUCCCUGUGGAAUUCUAGAGCUGGUCAAUGUAUAGUUACAUACGUACGGAACAUACCACCGAACCGGCAACUAGACACGAGUGUUUACCCCCCUGUGUGAUCCUUACGUUGCCUGCAAUUUAUAGGGAAAAAGUUCUACGAGAUUAUUCUAACUAUAUCACACACGUGUGUUUUCUGGAUACACGUGUACGGUUAUAUAUAAAACAGACGCUACCAAUUCUUGUGAAAAAAAUUAUAUUACAAAUUGCAAUAAAUAAACUUUUCAUACCUUCUCCGAUAUUAACUAACAGAUAACACUCGACUGAUAUCAACUAAUUCUGCUACAGACAAGCCUUUUGUAACAUGGUUAACUCGUUUCGCGUUAUAUCGAAAUCAGGUUUCCAAGUGUGUGUUAACGGCAAGUACUUAAUACUAAGGAAGACUGCAAGACCCUGGAUAUCUUCACCUUAAGGGAUCUGUGUAUAUAGAUCGUCGAGAGGAACGCGUGAGCUGGAAUCGGAAAGGUCAGAGGAUCUCGUGGCAAUGCGUCAUCGAGUAGGCAAACAGGACACCGAUCGAAGCGAGCGUUCCUAUCCCUA
rnacentral:lncRNA from 11 species